GAUUCAUAAUAACUAAACGAAUCGCAUGGCCUUGCGCCGGCGAUGGUUCAUUCAAAUUUCUGCCCUAUCAACUUUCGAUUGUAAGAUAGAGGCUUACAAUGGUCUUAACGGGUAACGGGGAAUUAGGGUUCUACUCCGGAGAGGGAGCCUGAGAAACGGCUACCACAUCCAAGGAAGGCAGCAGGCGCGCAAAUUACCCAAUGCUAAUUCAGCGAGGUAGUGACAAUAAAUACUGAUACGGGGCUCUUUCGGGUCUCGUAAUUGGAAUGAGUACAAUCUAAAUCCCUUAACGAGGAACAAUUGGAGGGCAAGUCUGGUGCCAGCAGCCGCGGUAAUUCCAGCUCCAAUAGCGUAUAUUAAAGUUGUUGCCGUUAAAAAGCUCGUAGUUGAACCUUGGAUCUGGCUGAUCUGUCCUCCUAAUCGAGCGCACGGAUUCGGUCGGAUCUUUCCUUCUGGGGAACCCUAUGCCCUUCACUGGGUGUAGUGGGGAACCAGGACUUUUAC
rnacentral:rRNA from 1 species